UCCGAGUUUAUCAAUAAACCAUACAAAUUUUAAUAUUACAAUAUGGAAAUGAUCUAUAUCGAUGAAGAAGAGGAAGCAACAAGUUCUAUUGCUUUACCAUGGCCAAAUUGAGCAUAUUUUAAAAUAAUAUCUCAAAACAAAGAAAACAAUUAAUUCUCUGAUGGUAAAAGGUUUGCCGUGUCUACCUAAAAAUACAAAAAUAUCCGUCAGUAUGACUUCAACGUGCAAUAUCGUGAAGCACAUAAGGAUGGCAUGCAGCCAUUAUAAAAGAAAACAAUUGAUACAAAGAUUAGCUGGUGAAUUAUCAAAGUCAUCAACUGACUGCAAGCAAAUAACCUGCCAAAAAAAACAAAUAAUUUAAUUUCAGAUUUUUUUCAGUACCCUACAGCAGAUAUAAUUUCUAAUAAUGAUUUAAAUUUUGAUAAUCAACAAAUUUUAAAUAACUUUUUCAAAAAUAAAUGUAGAGAUUUUAGCAUUUUUAAAGAACUGAUAUAAAAUUGUUAUUUAUUAAAUAUAACACUACAAUUCCUUCAAGCGUCCCUGUGGAAAGACUAUUUAGUGUUGCUAAAAAUGUCUUCACAGAUAAACGAGGAUGCCUAAAUGAUCAAAAUUUUGAAAAUAUUUUAUUACUGAAAUCUAAUAAUUAUUUAAUCAUAUAUUUUCAUAUAUUAUAUUAAAAUUAUAAUUUUAGUUAUAUUCUGAUAAAUGUUAUAUCGCGUCAAUAA